rnacentral:rRNA from 1 species
GGCGAACGCUGGCGGCGUGCCUAAUACAUGCAAGUCGAACGCACAGUUUAUACCGUAGCUUGCUACACCAUAGACUGUGAGUUGCGAACGGGUGAGUAACGCGUAGGUAACCUGCCUGGUAGCGGGGGAUAACUAUUGGAAACGAUAGCUAAUACCGCAUAAUAUUGAUUAUUGCAUGAUAAUUGAUUGAAAGAUGCUAUUGCAUCACUGCCAGAUGGACCUGCGUUGUAUUAGCUAGUAGGUGAGGUAACGGCUCACCUAGGCGACGAUACAUAGCCGACCUGAGAGGGUGAUCGGCCACACUGGGACUGAGACACGGCCCAGACUCCUACGGGAGGCAGCAGUAGGGAAUCUUCGGCAAUGGACGAAAGUCUGACCGAGCAACGCCGCGUGAGUGAAGAAGGUUUUCGGAUCGUAAAGCUCUGUUGUAAGAGAAGAACGGGUGUGAGAGUGGAAAGUUCACACUGUGACGGUAUCUUACCAGAAAGGGACGGCCAACUACGUG